rnacentral:rRNA from 1 species
GACGAACGCUGGCGGCGUGCUUAACACAUGCAAGUCGAACGGAAAGGCCCUGCUUUUGUGGGGUGCUCGAGUGGCGAACGGGUGAGUAACACGUGAGUAACCUGCCCUUGACUUUGGGAUAACUUCAGGAAACUGGGGCUAAUACCGGGUAGGAGCUCCUGCUGCAUGGUGGGGGUUGGAAAGUUUCGGCGGUUGGGGAUGGACUCGCGGCUUAUCAGCUUGUUGGUGGGGUAGUGGCUUACCAAGGCUUUGACGGGUAGCCGGCCUGAGAGGGUGACCGGCCACAUUGGGACUGAGAUACGGCCCAGACUCCUACGGGAGGCAGCAGUGGGGAAUAUUGCACAAUGGGCGGAAGCCUGAUGCGGCAACGCCGCGUGCGGGAUGACGGCCUUCGGGUUGUAAACCGCUUUCGCCUGUGACGAAGCGUGAGUGACGGUAAUGGGUAAAGAAGCACCGGCUAACUACGUG